UACGGGAGGCAGCAGUGGGGAAUAUUGCACAAUGGGCGCAAGCCUGAUGCAGCCAUGCCGCGUGUAUGAAAAAGGCCUUCGGGUUGUAAAGUACUUUCAGUCGUGAGGAAGGUGUUAAGGUUAAUAACCUUAGCAAUUGACGUUAGCGACAGAAGAAGCACCGGCUAACUCCGUGCCAGCAGCCGCGGUAAUACGGAGGGUGCGAGCGUUAAUCGGAAUUACUGGGCGUAAAGGGCACGCAGGCGGUUAAUUAAGUUGGAUGUGAAAUCCCCGGGCUUAACCUGGGAAUGGCAUUCAAGACUGGUUAGCUAGAGUCUUGUAGAGGGGGUGAAUUCCAUGUGUAGCGGUGAAAUGCGUAGAGAUGUGGAGGAAUCCGGUGGCGAAGGCGGCCCCUGGACAAAGACUGACGCUCAUGUGCGAAAGCGUGGGGAGCAAACGAGGGAUUAGAUACC
rnacentral:rRNA from 1 species